rnacentral:rRNA from 1 species
UACAGAGGGUGCGAGCGUUGUCCGGAAUCACUGGGCGUAAAGGGCGCGUAGGCGGCGCGGUAAGCGUGCGGUGAAAGCCCGGGGCUCAACCCCGGGUCGGCCGUGCGGACUGCCGGGCUCGAGCACUGUAGAGGCGGGUGGAAUUCCGGGUGUAGCGGUGGAAUGCGUAGAGAUCCGGAAGAACACCGGUGGCGAAGGCGGCCCGCUGGGCAGUGGCUGACGCUGAGGCGCGACAGCGUGGGGAGCAAACAGG